UACGGAGGGUGCAAGCGUUACUCGGAAUCACUGGGCGUAAAGCGCGCGUAGGCUGUUGUGUAAGUUGGGGGUGAAAUCCCACGGCUCAACCGUGGAACAGCCCUUGAUACUGCGCGACUUGAAUCCGGGAGAGGCAGGCGGAAUUCCGUGUGUAGCGGUGAAAUGCGUAGAUAUACGGAGGAACACCAGUGGCGAAGGCGGCCUGCUGGACAUUAACUGACGCUGAGGCGCGAAAGCGUGGGGAGCAAACAGG
rnacentral:rRNA from 1 species